GAUGAACGCUGGCGGCGUGCUUAACACAUGCAAGUCGAACGAAGCAGAUGAGAAAGCUUGCUUUUUUAUUUCGCUUAGUGGCGGACGGGUGAGUAACGCGUGAGUAACCUGCCCUUCAGUGGGGAAUAACAUCGAGAAAUCGGUGCUAAUACCGCAUAACGUAUUUAUGUCGCAUGACAUUUAUACCAAAGGAUUUAUUCGCUGAAGGAUGGACUCGCGUCCGAUUAGAUAGUUGGUGAGAUAAUGGCCCACCAAGUCAACGAUCGGUAGCCGGACUGAGGGGGUGAUCGGGCACAUUGGGACUGAGACACGGCCCAGACUCCUACGGGAGGCAGCAGUGGGGAAUAUUGGGCAAUGGGCGAAAGCCUGACCCAGCAACGCCGCGUGAAGGAUGAAGGUCUUCGGAUUGUAAACUUCUUUGAUUAGGGAAGAAUUUUUGACCUACCUAAAGAACAAGUCACGGCUAACUACGUGCCAGCAGCCGCAGUAAUAC
rnacentral:rRNA from 1 species